rnacentral:miRNA from 1 species
AAGAGUAGGGAAGUCUGACUGC